UGGUGUUUGGAUCGUCCCUGCCGGCUGGCUCCGUGCCCGUCCACCGAACGGCCGGCAGGCGAUCCGCGUCGGUCGUGUGGGGUCUUAUGGUUCCCCAGAGGCCGGUUCUUGUGCUGCCUACCCGUUCAGGGGAAGCGGGCCACUUGUUGUAAGCCUCCAUCCGGCGCCUUCCAACGGGCGCUGGAGGACAACGUAGCACCCCCCGCGUUCCACCGAGCCUUCACCGGUCGCGUGGCGCGCGGGGACGUGCGACGCUCUCGGACCCAGCGAACGCYGUGGGCGAGGACUCACGUCCCCGUCCCAACAGAAGCUCCCACAUAACGCAUGACGGCCGUUCCCGCCCCCCCACGUGAGGGCGAGGCGCGGCGUCGUGGAGGAAUGCUACCUGGUUGAUCCUGCCAGUAGUCAUAUGCUUGUCUCAAAGAUUAAGCCA
rnacentral:misc_RNA from 1 species